UCAUGCGCACUAUGCGCGCUGGCCGGCUGGUUUUGCGGAGAUUGAGAACUCCCUCACAGGAUGAGCUCUCUCCUCGGCCAGCCCUGACCGAUACACCCAUGAUUUUUUGCGUACCUAUUGUUUCCUCGGCAGGCUUGCCUGCCAGUAGGACCCUUUUCAAAACCCAAUGCAGUUGCAGUCAGCGUCAGAUAACUUCAAUAGUUA
rnacentral:misc_RNA from 1 species